UGGUCAUUAUUUGCCGCUUUAUUAGUCGUCAAAGCCCAAGCCACCAUAGCCGCUAGGGAUUUUCAAAACUUGGACCGGCUAAUGUUUCCUCUGCUGCAAUCGACAAGCCUAUACUUGCUCCUGUUAUAUGCUGUUUUGGGCCUUCUCGCUCUUGUUAUAUGCCUGUAAUGCAUCUUCUUCCCCCUGGAAAGAACCCCAUAAUCGCAAUUUAAGCCCUUGUCUGCACUUGCACAGACACACAAACCAUGACAACAUAUACUGUCUCUAGUUGAUGAACUGUGCGUGCACGUAUGGAUAUCCACGUACCGGAGUCUUGAAUCCUGGUAGUACAAACUUAGCAUCAGUCUUUAGUAAACAUAACCCCACCGUAAGAUUCGCAUGCAAAGGGCCAGGCCGAGGAAAGUCUCAACACUUC
rnacentral:lncRNA from 1 species